rnacentral:misc_RNA from 1 species
GAUGAAGAACGUAGCGAAAUGCGAUACGUAAUGUGAAUUGCAGAAUUCAGUGAAUCAUCGAAUCUUUGAACGCAUAUUGCGCUCUCUGGUAUUCCGGAGAGCAUGCUUGUUUGAGUAUCAGUAAACACCUCAACUCCCCUUUCUUUUUUGAAAUGGGAGCUGGACUUGAGUGAUCCCAACGCUUUUCUCACCGAAAAGUGGCGGGUUACUUGAAAUGCAGGUGCAGCUGGACUUUUCUCUGAGCUAAACGCAUAUCUAUUUAGUCUGCCUAAAAACAGAUUAUUACCUUUGCUGCAGCUAACAUAAAGGAGAUUAGUUCUUGUGCUGACUGAUGCAGGAUUCACAGAGACAGCUUCGGCUGGCCUUUGUAAACUCGAUCUCAAAUCAAGUAAGACUACCCGCUGAACUUAAGCAUAUCAAUAAGCGGAGGA